UGGAUACCUGAGUACUACUUCCUAUCCAUUUUAAUCUACGCUGAGUACGUGUGUGGCAUGCAUGAGUACGUGGUGCAGUGUCAAUUAAAACCGACGGAGGGAGUAUGAAUCAUUUGGGUAUGUGGUUUCUCGGAUUGUUAACCUUAGGAUAUCUUGCUUUCCCCUGCAACCUAAAUACAAUCCCCUAGCUCCAUUUUUCUUGGUAAAAACACAUAUGAUGGUUCAUCAAACCUAGGCAAUAUGGUUACUGCUUACAAGUGUACCGCAUGGUGUGCUGCUGCUGAGCUAUAGUACCAAAGAUGGUGCAAUUUAAGGUUCUGCCAUCACACAUACCUGACUUAACCAGAUACAUCCAAAUAGCAGGUGCAAGUGUCCCAUCCUCCAGCUAUUCCUAUAUGUUAAUGCCAUCAUGGAUAGAUCUCUUCCUCUUAAGGUUCAACUUAAUAUUCAGUGGUCUAUCUACAGCACACGCAAUUCCUGUUGAUGGUUGCUCGGUUCAAGAGCUAUGUGUGGAAGGUCAAGACCUGGAGUCGUUUAAUGCACCCAGUUCAAAUAGAAGGCACAUACGGCCAAUUGUUAGUUUCCUGUCCAUUUUCAGUCAGUACAAAAGGCAUACAAACACUACUUAGUUUUCUGUUCAUAUCCAGGCAAUGACUGACAACUAAUUCUUCCGA